AGAUACCCUGGUAGUCCACGCUGUAAACGAUGGAUACUAGGUGUAGGAGGUAUCGACCCCUUCUGUGCCGGAGUUAACACAAUAAGUAUCCCGCCUGGGGAGUACGGCCGCAAGGCUGAAACUCAAAGGAAUUGACGGGGGCCCGCACAAGCAGUGGAGUAUGUGGUUUAAUUCGAAGCAACGCGAAGANCCUUACCAGGGCUUGACAUCCCUUGACGAUCCUAGAGAUAGGAUUUCUCUUCGGAGCAAGGAGACAGGUGGUGCAUGGUUGUCGUCAGCUCGUGUCGUGAGAUGUUGGGUUAAGUCCCGCAGCGAGCGCAACCCCUGUUGUUAGUUGCCAUCAUUUAGUUGGGCACUCUAGCAAGACUGCCGGUGACAAACCGGAGGAAGGUGGGGACGACGUCAAAUCAUCAUGCCCCUUAUGUCCUGGGCUACACACGUACUACAAUGGCUGUUACAGAGGGAAGCGAAACCGCGAGGAGGAGCAAACCCCCAAAGGCAGCCCCAGUUCGGAUUGCAGGCUGAAACCCGCCUGCAUGAAGUCGGAAUUGCUAGUAAUGGCAGGUCAGCAUACUGCCGUGAAUACGUUCCCGGGCCUUGUACACACCGCCCGUCACACCAUGAGAGUCUGCAACACCCGAAGUCAGUAGUCUAACCGUAAGGAGGACGCUGCCGAAGGUGGGGCCGAUGAUUGGGGUGAAGUCGUA
rnacentral:rRNA from 1 species